UACGUAGGGGGCUAGCGUUGUCCGGAAUCAUUGGGCGUAAAGCGCGCGUAGGCGGCCAGAUAAGUCCGGUGUGAAAGUCAAAGGCUCACCUUUGAAUGCCGCUGGAAACUGUCUGGCUAGAGUCCGGGAGGGGCGAGUGGAAUUCCUGGUGUAGCGGUGAAAUUCGUAGAUAUUAGGAAGAACACCGAUGGGCGAAGGCAGCCCUUCUGGGCCAACACUGAC
rnacentral:rRNA from 1 species